rnacentral:ncRNA from 2 species
UAUGGGUGUCUUCAUGCUGUUCUAAGUGUAAUUGCUUGUUAAUAAAGCCUUUUAUUCUCACUUGUCUAGUUUUUUUACGUUUUCUUUCCCAACUGUAUGGUUAUGACGCGCAGCGGUAAGAGAGAACGAACACCCAAUAUGACACUGCAGGAAAAUGCUGUGGGAAGUCGGGUUAGUAGGUCAAGAGCUCUCAAGUCCGAAUACCUGCCAGCAGCCAAAUCUAUAC